GUGUCAGCCGCCGCGGUAAUACGUAGGGGGCGAGCGUUGUCCGGAAUCAUUGGGCGUAAAGCGCGUGUAGGCGGCUCGGCAAGUCCGGUGUGAAAGCUCGAGGCUCAACCUCGAGUCUGCAUCGGAAACUGCCUUGCUAGAGUCCGGAAGAGGAGACUGGAAUUCCUGGUGUAGCGGUGAAAUGCGCAGAUAUCAGGAAGAACACCGGUGGCGAAGGCGGGUCUCUGGGACGGUACUGACGCUGAGACGCGAAAGCGUGGGGAGCAAACAGGAUUAGAAACCCUGGUAGUCC
rnacentral:rRNA from 1 species